ACUUCAACAGAUCGCGCCGGUGCCCUUCGGGGCUUGAAAGGGAAUGCGGUGCGGGAGGAUGUCCUCCCAAUGCCGCGGCUGUCCCUGCAACUGUAAGCGGUGAGCGAGACGCACAGGCCCUUCGCGAGGAGGGCAGCCACUGGGUCCAAGACCUGGGAAGGCGUGUGUCGAGCUUUGACCCGUGAGCCAGGAGACCUGCCAGCGUAACGGUCGCUCU
rnacentral:ncRNA from 2 species